UACGAAGGGUGCAAGCGUUACUCGGAAUUACUGGGCGUAAAGCGUGCGUAGGUGGUUUGUUAAGUCUGAUGUGAAAGCCCUGGGCUCAACCUGGGAACGGCAUUGGAAACUGGCUUACUAGAGUGCGGUAGAGGGGUGUGGAAUUCCCGGUGUAGCGGUGAAAUGCGUAGAUAUCUGGAGGAACACCGGUGGCGAAGGCGGCAUCCUGGACCGACACUGACACUGAGGAGCGAAAGCCAGGGGAGCAAACGGG
rnacentral:rRNA from 1 species